GCCGCUGUAGCUCAGUUGGCAAGAGCAUCGGGCGUGUAAUCCGAAGGUCGCAGGUUCGGUCCCUGUCAGUGGCA
rnacentral:tRNA from 1 species